rnacentral:rRNA from 1 species
GAUGAACGCUAGCUACAGGCUUAACACAUGCAAGUCGAGGGGAAACGAUAGAGAAAGCUUGCUUUUUCUAGGCGUCGACCGGCGCACGGGUGAGUAACGCGUAUCCAACCUGCCCACCACUUGGGGAUAACCUUGCGAAAGUAAGACUAAUACCCAAUGACGUCCAUAGAAGACAUCUGAAAUGGAUUAAAGAUUUAUCGGUGAUGGAUGGGGAUGCGUCUGAUUAGCUUGUUGGCGGGGUAACGGCCCACCAAGGCGACGAUCAGUAGGGGUUCUGAGAGGAAGGUCCCCCACAUUGGAACUGAGACACGGUCCAAACUCCGACGGGAGGCAGCAGUGAGGAAUAUUGGUCAAUGGGCGAGAGCUUGAACCAGCCAAGUAGCGUGCAGGAUGACGGCCCUAUGGGUUGUAAACUGCUUUUAUAAGGGAAUAAAGUGAGUCUCGUGAGACUUUUUGCAUGUACCUUAUGAAUAAGGACCGGCUAAUUCCGUGCCAGCAGCCGCCGUAA